rnacentral:lncRNA from 1 species
UCUAUCCCAUUUUGUAGGUGAGGAGCUCCUCCAAGUUUAAGCCUCGUUUGAGUUCGAGACUCAAUUCUUUCCGAAUUAUGGUGGGUACUUCGGUCAGUUGCCUUGGAGAAAAUCUUUACUAUUGAUGUCACUUCAAGUUUUUACUGUAGGCACCGGGGGCGAAUUUUGCCGGUAGAUGUCCUGUCGGAUUUUUGCCGCAGACAACUUUGUCCCAACUUUUUAUUACGGACAUCCUAGAGGAAAUCUAGAUGUUACUUCAUUUUUUUUUACUGAAGUCAUCUGAAACCACUAUUCUUGAACAUCUCGUUGCAGUGGGUUUUUCUCCUGAUUUCUUGGCUGGAAUCCUUUUCUGUCUGAUGACAUUUUUUUUCUUUUUUCUUAACUUCGGAGAUGGCCAAUAUACUCAGAGUUGAUGUGGAGUAGAGGGGCGGUCUUCGAUAUCAUUAUCCACUUGGGCGAGGCAUUCCCGGAUGCUUUCUUGAACCAGUAGUUCAUACUGGACUUCUUCUAGGUAGUUGUGGAUGUUUAAAAGGGGUUCCCUUGAACUUUCUUCAACCUGAACAUCUACCUCUAAUUCGGUGGUUACCCGAAUCCUGCCGUUCGACCAACAUUUCUGAUGCUCCAAUUCCUUUGCUUUAUAGUACAGUUCAACAUAAGAAGAGAUUUUGCAUUUCUUAAGGUCAAAUGCAUCUAAGCGGUCCUUUUCCUCUGUUAUAGAUCCUUUGGGCAUAUCUUCGCCAUGGCCAAGUCAUCUGAUAUGGACGCAUCACCUCUGCUAUUUCUCGUUCUUCUAUUCCACUAUAGAUUUCUACCUUUAAAAAAUCUUCAUCUCCUUUUACUUCAUAUAGCAGAGUAGCCACCACUGCGGAAAAUAUUUGAAGGGUGGCAAAGCAGUCUAGCGAAAUCAACCUAAUAAGCCCUUUGUUCAUGGCUCUGAUCUGGUUCUCAUUGGUGAAGGUGUUUAAAGAGUGUAUAGCUAGCUUGGGAAAUUUGAGGUCGUUUAUUAGGAACAUUUUUAGUUCCAUGAACAAUCUGUUGAUCUUAUGAGGUUGUGUUGCCAGAUCGUGCAUAACUUCUAGGAGUUCUUUGGUUAGAACAUUUUGAGCCUUUUCCUAACAAGUCUAGCCUUUUGAAUUUGACCAUUGAGGGUGUCCCUGUUAGGUUACAAAGACCAUAGAGUGUAAUUAGUUCCGGAUUUCCUUCAGAUGAUUGUUCGCCUGACACUUUAAUCUGUUCCUUAAUAGUUCUUAGUGUUUUCUCUUUUUCUGCUAAAUGGUGAACUAGGCUUGUCAUAGCCCCCCUAAUAUCUUUUUUUUGUUUAAGAUAUGAUUUUCCUAGAUUCCAUUUCUAUGGAAUAAGUUUCAGAAGAAACCCCUGGGUUAAAAAUGGGAGAUAUUAGCUGGGUUUCAGCUCAGUGCAUUUUCUUCUCAGUCUCCCUUUGGGGUAGUUUUCCCAAUGAUUGUCAUUUUGGAAUUGGAAUGGUAUGCACCUUCUUGUGUUCCAUUUCCCUACAAAAAUUCAUGGGAGACGAAGUCAGAAAGGGAGUUUGUUAUCCCUUUUAUAUAUUCGAUGUUAAUCAAAGCAUUAGCGUAUUGCUUGCCAUCAGGCAAAGAUUUGUUAAGAUACUAGAUUUUUAAUAAUUUUUUGUAAAACAUCUUUUGCUGCAUUACAGGUGAUGCAUAGGAGAAUGCAUUGGUUUAACAAAUCUCCCUAAAGUUUUGUAAUGACUUUGAAGCUGGGAAGUAUUUUUGUUUAAUUGUCGAAUACUUCUUAUGCGUAUCAUUCCAAGUGCGAGAGGUAAAUCUUACCAACUGCGCCUUGUUAUCCCUUCUUUUGUUCAGUGAACAUCCAUAUUCAUGGUCAGAUGCAUUUGUUUCAAUGAUUUUAAAUACAUCUUAAUGAAGUUUUAGAUAGGAAAGGUAUUUUAACUUUUCUUUUAUUUGUCUUAUUGAUUUUGCAUGUUACUCCAUCCAUGCAGCUGGAUUUUUCUUCAAUCGAUCUGUUAAAAUUUAUUUAUCCUUUGCAAGAGAUUCAUAAAACUCGAAAAUAUAAUUAAGGCAUCCUAAGAAUCUUUGCAACUAUUUUUUAUCAUUAAUUUCAUUAGGAUGUUUAUCUGUAAAUUAUGUAACUCUAUUUAUGAGAGCGAUUUGAUCAUACAUAAUCUAAAAUCCUAAAAACUGUGUUUCUGCUUGAAAUAGUUUUAUGUUUCCUGUAGAAACAGCUAAUCCAUUUCUUAUUAUUACUUUACAAAAUAUAUUGAGGUGUUUCUAGUGUUGGUCUAUAUUUUUUGAAAAUAAUUAGUAUAUCAUCAAUAUAUACUAUGACAAAACUAGUAUAUGGAAGAAAUAUUUCAGUCGUGAUCUUUUGAAAUUUCGGAGGGUACAUUCUUUAAUCUGAAAAGCAUUACGUUCUAUUUGUAAUAUCCAAAAGGGAUGGUAAACACCGUUUUGUAACGGUCGUCUUCUUUUAUUUGGAUUUGCCAGGAUAACAAUUUCAUAUCAAACUUAGAGUAUAUUCGAGAUCCUUGGAUCCUCUUAUGAGAUCUUGCUUGUUAGGAAUUGGAUAUCUCAUCCAUUGUAAUACUUUGUUUUGAGGCAUGUAGUUGAUUACUAGCCUAGGGACUCCUCUUUCCUUUUCAGCCGCAUUUUCGUUAUAGAAUGCAGCACAGCUCCAAGGAGAGGAGCUUUUUCUAAUUUGUUUUUUCUCAAGUAAAAAUUCGCUUUCAUCUUUGCAUAUUUCUAAAAGUCUUUGAUUCAUUUGUAUAGGCCUAGCCCUAGUCAAAAUUUUUUGUUCAUCAAACUCAGGAACAGAAGGUAAGCUUAUUUGAUAUUUUUUUCGGUACCAAAAUAUUGAGUGUAGCUCAGCACAAAUGCUCUCUUUAAAUUGAUUUUUCAAAGCCCUCUUGGAACUUAGGAUUGGAUAGGGCUUUAUCUAUCCUAGUAUUUUGUAUUUCAUAUGAUAGCUCAUUAACAAACCUUUCUUUGUAUUCAAUCACUUCUUUUAGCUUAUUGAGAAAAGAUGCUUCAAGUUUGGAACAAAAUUUGAAUAUUUGCCAUUUACCAUCAAUUUGGGUUGUAAUACCCUCUUCUAUCACUGUAAAGGGGAUUUCUAGAAUAACUCCUUGUCAUAGAUUUUUAACUAAUAAGAAUGUUGUCUUAAUAUAGGUUUUUCUUAUAUAGACAUGAAUAUCUGGGAUUUUUUUAAAACUUACCCUAAGUUCUCCACCAUUGCCUGUAUAAACUUUAUGGGUUGAUUUUUUAAAGUACCUGGAAGGGAUUAAUCUUCCUCUAAUGCAGUUUACAUUAGCUCCUGAGUCUACUAGAGUUCUGUGUUUGAAUUAAAUUUCUUUAAUUUUAUACUGGAUUUCACAAUACCAUUUGGGUUUCAUGAAUCUUUCUAUAGAGCAUGUAAACUCUAAAAGUUCUCUUGUACUAAGUGGUUCUUGUCUGAUUCUACGAUCUGCUCUAGUUCUUCAUCCAUCCUUUCCUCGGAUUCUCUUAUUUUCAAAAGUUCUAACUUUUCCUUUAAUAAUUGUAUUUUUUUAUUAGGUUUUUUCCCUUAAUAAGUUGUCAGGACUCGUUUUCUUAUUACUCUACUUGGACUUCCUUAGUCUUUUGAAGACUUCAUCAAGAGAAUUGAAAUCAUGCCUUUUUUUCAAAAAUUUGGAGGGAUUUUACCUCCUGACCCUUUGUCAUGGUAAAGAACUUGGUGAGCUGAUUCCUUCACUCCUCUAGGUCUUUUAGAGAAUCGAUCAUAUUUAUAAUAAACUAUUCUUCAUUAGUCAAUACCAUUACAUCAGCAUCACUGGAUUGACCUUUCGCUGUAAUAUUCAUCAUGGCAUGAACAACUUUUGAUUUCAUCUUCCUCUUCAAUGUCUAGGUUUAGAUUACUAAUGAGGUCUUCUAAUUUUUCUUUUAUUUCAUCGAGGUUGUUACCUUUGGCAAUCUCUUAAAUUUUCUUCUUGAUUUCUCUUUUAUUGCAUCUGUUUGCGUUAUGUCCUCUUCGCUUGCAUUUGUAGUAGGUUGGAGUUUUCGGUGGAGGUGGUGUCCAUUUCUUUCCUCCUUUUCCAUAUACUUUGUCAAUCUUUCUUUUGGGAUUUUUCGGAGCUUUUUUAUCAUAAUACUUCUUCUUAUAUUCUUUUGAUUUUUUGUUUCUUUUGAUAUGGUUUGUCUUGUUGGAAUCCAAAUUGAUAGCAAAAAUCACCUAGCUCUUUCUUCCCAUCAUCUUCUAUUUUUUCAAUUGAUCCUGAAUUUUUAGGUAAUUACACAGUUCAACCCCAACUCUCUAAAUUUUUUGGGCUACUUUGCCCAUGUCUAACUGGCUAUAAAAUAUUCUUCCUUCACCCUCAUUUCUUAAAUGAGUCUUAACCUUUUUUCCAAAUAAGAGUCGAAGAACCAAGAUGAAUUUCUCUUUCCAAAAGUGAAAGAGUACAUUUAGGAUUAAUGUCUGAUGGUUGAUUUGUCAAAAAAAAUGUUGUCAGGGUCUCUCUUUACAGAGUUCAGGAUUUCUUGCGACUGUUGUCCCAAAAAGCCCGCAACUACCAUCUGAGCCGCAACCUUUUCUGAGUUUCCAUGGACUUUUAUAAGCAUUAGAAUACAUAAUCAUCUGAUGACAUAUGGUGAAUAUUUGGUAUUUUGUAAAUACAUCAAGAUUCUAUUCGACCAGGCUUCUUCUGUCAAACUGAACUGCAACUUCAGUGUCGGGUGUUUCCUCGAACUGCAAGUCUGCAUGUGUGGGUCUAGGAUAAUAAUUUUAAUCUUAGAGGCUUAAACUAUUUGUUCAUAGGCUGAGAUUUUAUUUACCUCAUCAUCCUUUAUGGGUUUUCUUGGUGAUUUGUCUUCUCUUUCUUCUGAAGGAGUAUCCUCUUCUGAGUUUUUUUCUUCAGAAUUUUCUUUAGAUAGAUGAUUUAUUGUGUCUUUAAUUUUAAGAGAAGACUCCUCAUUGAUAAUUCAUGAAUUAAUUUCUCCAAAAAGGACAGUCCUAGUUUUACUCCUGAGUCCGACUCAUGAGAUGUAAACAUAGGGGCAACAUUUUUUAAUGAAGAUGUUUUACUAUUUUUUUGGGGUGGCUUAACUUGUUUUAGUUGAGGAAUCUUUUUACCAUCAGGGACAGUAUGUACUAUCAUAUCUGUCUCUUCUUUCUUUUCCAGAAGGAUUGUUUCAAUUUUCUUCAUUUGCUUUUCUAUUGAUCUAAGAGCUAUAUUUGUGAAGUUUUGUUACUCCACUAUUUGUUCCAAAUGAUCGAUCUUGGUGGUUUCGUUAAGUCCUUUAGUGCAUACUUUUAAUGGACUAGCUCGUACUCCUCCUACUUAUAUGGUUUUGAAGGGCGGAUUUACAAACUCCACUUCAACCCCUCUAGCUAUCUUCCAUGUGUUUGAAAGAUAUUUGAUAACUGCUACCUGUAUGUCUGCGGAACAGCUCAAGCCCUUACAAAAUAUUCAUUUUCAUACCAAUCAAAAAAGAGAAUGUUCCUUUCUUCUACCCUCAUUUGAUGUGGUAUAUUUCUCUGAUGAAGCUUUAUUUUGCUUCAUCGUUGGUUCUAAAGAGCCAUAGUCUCUUUUCUCUAUUGGCUUUAGAGUUGAAGUCUUUUCUUAAUAAUUCUUUAUCAAUUUGGAAUUCCUCUAACUCAAUAACAUUUACCUAAAAUUCCGAGAUGGAUUUUAUGUAAUUUUUUAGAUCUAUACUUUUAUAUCAACUUUGUCUUCUGUCACUCUACCUAAUUUUUCUCAGAUAGAGAGCUUGAUCAAAAUUUUAUUCGUAAAUAAAACUUUCGAUUUGACCAACCCAUUUCAGGACCUAAACGAUGGAAUUUCAUCUCAGAUUCAACCCCCUAGGGUGUUAACCUAAAGUUAUAGAUCUCGAAAGGUUAUUUCAUUUCAAAAAAAAAAAAAAAUCUCAAUUGAGCGUCGUAUGACCAACUUAUGGCCUCUAGAAGUUUCUCCUCUAAUUCGGCUUCCUGUUGUGGUAGAUCUUGCUUCUGAAUCAUAUCCAGUCCUGUUCAUCGUAGUUAAAGUAAUCUAUAUCAGGUUUAAGGAUCCUUCUGAAUCAGCAAAAGAUAAGAAGAUGGAUAAUAAAUUAAUAUACACUCUCUCUAAUUGAACUCUCUUGGGUUUGCUCAACCAUACACCACUGAAAGAGCUGUUUCACCCUUCUCAUUUCUCAAAGGACAAUUGUUAAGCCCUUCACUCCAAGCUUUCCUGAGCCCCAAGGUCUCAUUUUUUUGAUAAUAUUAGUUCUAUCGUAGUGAGCGGAAAACUAGCUCCUGUGUCUCUCUAGAAAACAAUCGGAAGCACCGUCCUCAUUCUGUACGGAGAUCGAAAGAUGUGUUGAUUGCGAACUAUCAUAUAAACCUAGUCAGAAUUAAAGACCGCGCAACUUGUAUAAAGAUGAGAUGAGACAUGAGUGGCUGUUCCAAGGAAAUUUGUUAAUAGGAGAUGGCUGUGAGUUGUCUUUGAGUCCACUGUUUGUUUUCUGCUCCAAAAAUACAUCUAAACGUAAGAACAAAUCUGCUGCUUUAUUCUACCAGAAAGUGAUUAACAUAAAAUUCAUGCUAUUAGUUUUAAUAUUAGUAUGUUUUAGUAUAAUCUUGAAAAAGGAAAAGUCAUCAUUAAUUUUAUUAAAUAAUGUCUAUAACAGAACCAUGUGUCUGCACAUAGAUUAAUUAAGGAGAAAUUCUAGCGCAAGAAAUGAAUUCCAGCUCCUGUUGCCUCACAUUUUUAUUUCCUUGAGAGGCCGCCUAAAUUAGAGAAUACUCUCAGCUACAGUUAUUCCCUUCCAAUACAAGGCCAACAUUUAGGAAUUUAUUCGUACUCCAAAUAAACCCAACUCAAACCGUCGACCAGUGCCAUCAGGUGAGCUAAGUUCUUCUAGAAACGCAGAAGGAAUGGGGGGAAAUUUGCAAGAAAAAGGGACGAGGCAAAGAAUCGCCAAUACCUUCAGCUCCCAGUGAUGACUUGCCUGCCUCCAAAGGAUGAUGCUCCUGGGAACGGAGAGAUGCACGAUCCAAGCUUCGCAGAAGGUGGUGAGUACAAAAGCCGGAGUCACUCCUAUGGGGAGCCUUAAAUCAAAAACAAGGAGCCCCAAGUCGGUAAGCCAACCUUACUAAGGUAGGGAACUGAGCAUAGCCAGAAUGGCUGGCUAAGCUACUGGUGAUAGGAGCAUAUGAAGGUAUAAUAUUC